rnacentral:rRNA from 1 species
UGAUCAUGGCUCAGGAUGAACGCUAGCUACAGGCUUAACACAUGCAAGUCGGAGGGGCAGCAUGGUCUUAGCUUGCUAAGGCUGAUGGCGACCGGCGCACGGGUGAGUAACACGUAUCCAACCUGCCGUCUACUCUUGGCCAGCCUUCUGAAAGGAAGAUUAAUCCAGGAUGGGAUCAUGAGUUCACAUGUCCGCAUGAUUAAAGGUUAUUUUCCGGUAGACGAUGGGGG